GUAAUGAAGCAACAAUGGGCCACAGGUGUUCCUGAGAAGGGUAGAUGAAGAGAUCAGGCUGUAAGAGGUACUGGUUCCUGUGGGACCAGAGGGGAGAUGAGGGACUGGUCUGAGUCUCACUGGGAAUUAAUCUGCAUAUCUCACUCCUACCUGGUGGCAGGCAAAAGGGAGGGGGACAUAGGGACAGCAGAGUCUGGGAGACCUUGAGUAAGUUGCUAGGAAUGGAAUUCUGACAUGGAACUACAGGGAUUCUAAGGAGUGGAUGGUGAUACUAAGGGGCACAGAAGGCCCCAGAGAUGCCAGAGGAUCGGGAUUCAAACAUACCCUCCCCGAUCCAACCUAUUUUUGGUUCCACCAGUCCAAUGCCCACACCAGAGAGAAAAAAAAACCUCACCAGCUUCCUUCACAGUCAGAAACACUCUCACCACAGGCAUGGGUGGGCCCUGCAGUUUCAAGGGACAAGAUGGGCAAGCAGGAAAGGGAAGGUCCAGGGGCUGAAAGCCUGUCAGAAGCAGCUACGGAAUCCAGGCCCUUUGCCCGAAAGAUGCUGAGCACAUCAAGUUGGUCUCUGUGGAGACGGCAGAGGUGCUUGGAGGAGUGGUACAUCAUGAUGCCAAAGUAUUAGAAGGAGAGCAGUGGGUGGGUGAGGGCAUGGCCCAGGGCCUGUGACCUAAUCGCAAUGGAGACCAUCCCCACUGCACACCCCCCACUCCUGAGCUGGGCUUUGAACUCAACUAACAAGAACGAAGCAAGCAAGAGGAUGCCCCUACCUCUCCCUGGGGAGAAAUGUCAGGCUAGGUGGUCUGUUCAGAUAGAUGAUGAAAAGGCCCCUCAAAGGUAAUGGCCCUUCAGCCCACACCUAGAGGACAUUUAGAGAAGGGCGUGAAGCUCCAGAGAAGACUGAGUCUCAGAGCCCAGUGCUGACUGAAUACAGUGUCUGGCCCCCAGGAGGUCAACCUCAGUGGACUUGGACUGCCCCUGGGAAGAAGACAGCAAGUGUGGAUUGGGCAUAAAUGGGCAAAGCCAGUGUCCAACAGCUUCCUGUGCAGAGCUUCAAGGACUUGAGUCCCCUACUGUGGAGGGUUUCGGCUUGGCCUUCUUCACAGCACCUGCCUCCCCCAGAGACCCUUGUAGGGGGAACCCAGAGAGUCUUGUAGAAGUAGGUCUUAGGCUGGAGCUUUUAGCCUUGGAGAGCAGCCCAGAAACAGACCCCGGAGGGCAGGAGGCGUGAACUAGCAGGAGUGGGGGUAGGGGGGUCCUGCUGGGUCUAGAGAAGUAUCCCAGGUGGGAGCUGGAACUGAGCCUGGACAGGAGCUGAAGGAGACCUGUCUACAGAUGCAAUUCGUGCGGCUCCAGCCGACAGCAGCCCCAAGCUGGGGCUCCGAGACGGCGCCCAGGCGCUGCAGCCGUCCUACCCGCCGGUGCGGGGCGCCCCAGCCCGUGCGGGGUGCCCCAGCCCUCGCGGGGCCGCGCUUACCUGGGCUGGCUGCCUCCGGGUCCCGGUACAUGGUCCCCUUCGUCGCCGGCUCCCUCCGGGCUCCUCAGAGCCGCCUGCGGCCGCGCGCUUCUCUGCCGCCGCUGCAGGGCAUGGGGCCGGGCGACCCCCGGGGGCGGGUCCGAGGGCGGGGGCCGCGCGGGCUGCACGGAGCCGCGGAGCCGGGGAGCGGGGGCCGCCCGCCAGCCCUCCGGGCCGCCCGCGGAGCACGCUGCCGCCGCCGCCGAGCCGCGCGGAGCCUCCUCCCUCUGGCCUGCGCGCCGCGUGUGCGCGCCGGAGCGUGUGUGAGUGUGUACGAGGCGGUGUGUGUGUGUGUGUGUAUGUGUGUGUAUGUAUGUGUGUGCGUGCGUGUGUGAGUGAGUGUGUGU
ensembl:lincRNA